UACAGAGGGGGCAAGCGUUGUUCGGAAUUACUGGGCGUAAAGGGCUCGUAGGCGGCCAACUAAGUCCGACGUGAAAUCCCAAAGCUUAACUUUGGAACUGCGUCGGAUACUGGAUGGCUUGAAUUCGGGAGAGGGAUGCAGAAUUCCAGGUGUAGCGGUGAAAUGCGUAGAUAUCUGGAGGAAUACCGGUGGCGAAGGCGGCAUCCUGGACCGACAUUGACGCUGAGGAGCGAAAGCUAGGGGAGCAAACGGG
rnacentral:rRNA from 1 species